GCUCAUCUCUGCUGAUUAUGACAGGCGUGCAACGGCACACAUCCACAGAGCACUCUUCAAAUCAUCUACACAGUGGUUAUCCAACUAGGAUUAUAAAGGCACACAUUGACAUAGACCACUGUUGCAAUCAACGACACAGUCGCUAUCCAAGUAGCAUUAUAGAGCUGUCAUGCAACGCAAGAACUGUGCUAUCUGCCAUCGCACAUCAACGAAGAAGUGCAGCCGCCCACAUUCCACCUCACGUCUGUCCGACCAGCUGCAAUCCUCGAGGACGCCCCAC